CAGUCGCCACGGUAAUACGUAGGGCGCAAGCGUUGUCCGGAAUUAUUGGGCGUAAAGAGCUCGUAGGCGGUCUGUCGCGUCUGGUGUGAAAUCCCGAGGCUCAACCUCGGGCUUGCAUCGGGUACGGGCAGACUAGAGUGCGGUAGGGGAGACUGGAAUUCCUGGUGUAGCGGUGGAAUGCGCAGAUAUCAGGAGGAACACCGAUGGCGAAGGCAGGUCUCUGGGCCGCAACUGACGCUGAGGAGCGAAAGCAUGGGGAGCGAACAGGAUUAGAUACCCCAGUAGUCCCUGUCUCUUAUAA
rnacentral:rRNA from 1 species